rnacentral:rRNA from 1 species
GAUGAACGCUGGCGGCGUGCUUAACACAUGCAAGUCGAACGGUGAAGGCGGAGCUUGCUCUGCUGGAUCAUUGGCGAACGGGUGAGUAACACAUGAGCAAUCUGCCCCUGACUCUGUGAUAAGCGCUGGAAACAGCGUCUCAUACUGGAUACAAGCUGCGAAAGCAUCUUCAUCAACUGUGAAGAAUUUCUGUACGGGAUGAGCUCGCGGCCUAUCGGCUUGUUGGUGAGGUAAUGGCUCACCAAGCGUGCGACGGGUAGCCGGCCUGGGAGGGUGAACGGCCACAAGGGGACUGAGACACGGCCCAGACGCGAAUGUGAGGCAGCAGGGGGGAAUAUUGCACAAUGGCCGAGAGCCUGAUGCAGAAACGUUGCGUGAGGGAAGACCGCCCUCGGGUUGUAAACCUAUUUUAGCAGGGAAGAAGCGAAAGUGACGGUACCUACAGAAAAAGCGCCGGCUAACUACGUG